CAAGGGCUGUACAGUUCCUGGAGCUGGGCAGUCUUCUCAGAGUGGAGCCUGGUAACCGCGACCUCCCCGCCAGUUCCUGUGUGUUGCUGGCUGGAAAGGGGUAGUUGACAAACUCCCACCCAGCACAGUAUUUAUGUCGGUCAAAAAUGGAAAACUAUGUGUCCGGGCACGGCCCAGGAAGGAGGAUUCCUUCAGGCCAAGAGCAGCCUAGCAAUAUGGCGCAACCCCACCUCUGUAGUCCAACCUCAGCCUCCCAGCUACUUGAACCCCAAGAUUCAAGGCUCCAAUGAGCUGUGAUCUCACCACAGCACUCCUGCCUGCGAGACUGAGAGACCAAAGACCAACAAACUACCACAGCCACCAGUUCCGGAACCUGCCAAUGAUGGGCAACGGAAAGUGAGGGAGUUGAGAAGUGGAAUAAUCAUAUCGCUGAUCUAUGUAAACAAGUUGAAGAAUUGUCUGACAGAAAAUACAUGAACUUGUGAAUUCAACACGUGAAGAUUUACAACUUGAUAAACCAGCUUCAGGAGUAAAGGAAGAAUGGUAUGCCAGAAUCACUAAAUGAAGAAAGAUGGUGGAUCAGCUUUUCUGCAAAAAAAUUUGCUGAAGCCUUGGGGAGCACUGAAGCCAAGGUUCUACUGUACCAAAAAUUUGAAGGCCAUGCGAAUGAUCUGUAUGCGGAAGGACUACCAGAAAACAUUCCUUUCAGAAGUCCCUCGUGGUAUGGAAUCCCAAGGCUGGAAAACAUCAUUCAAGUGGGCAAUCGAAUUAAAUUUCUUAUUAAAAGUAACUCCAGUCAGACUCCAUUGUCUCCAGGUCGACUUUCGUCAUCAUCCACAACUCCUCCACACAAGCCCUGAACACGUGUCCAUACCUGAACUAGUUAUUUCCUACUCGCCUCCUGGAAUGGCUAAUAAAAUAAACACUAAAGCUUUGCAGUCCCCAAAAAGACCAUGAAGCCCUGAGAGUAAUGGAAAGGUUCCUGAAAUUGAGGUCACUGUGGAAGCCUCAGCCGAGAUGUCUCACCCCACUCUCUCUGAUGCAACAAGAAGCCCCUGGGGAACGUUUCAGUCCCACUCUGUACUUCUGUCACAUGCUCAUCACAGUCUGAGCCACCUAAGCUGAAGAUUCCCUUGAGAACAAGGGCUAGCCUGUGAUUUCGUGACCUUUCUUCCAUUUGUGGUUCUUGCCAAGUGGAAUUUAAAUGACCUUUUAUCAAGAUGGAUAAACCCAAGUUUCCCAGUGCCAGAAUAUAGAAAAUGGAUGGAUAACUGAAUCUACCAUGAAAGACUUCAGAGUCCAGGAAGAGAGACUGACUGGGCAACAUCUUAUUCAGAAACAGGACCUUGCUGUGUCACUCAGGAUGGAGUUCAGUGGUCCUAUCAUGGCUCAUUGUAGCCUCAAACUCCCAGGCUCAAGCGAUCCUCCCACCUCAUCCCUCCCAGUAGCUGGGACUAUAGGU
rnacentral:lncRNA from 1 species